GCGGGGCUGAGGGACAGCGGCACAGCGGCACAUGGUGCCCAGCAAGGGCCGCACCGGCCGGGGCCCGCGGGCCGCGCCCGCACCGGUUAAUAAUUGUGGUCUUCAGCUGGUUAUCCAGACCUCAUCAAUACCAGAUAAGAGCAAACCAUUUGAAUUCAGGAUAAAUAAAGAACCGUCAUCUUUCCACAACAGACUUCUGCAGCAUGAUCUGGAAAAAAACUACUCAGGAAGACAAGAUAACACAAAUUUUGGGAGCAGUUCAUCAGUAACAUUUCCUGUAUUGCAACGCACUGCUGAGGAAAAAAUCCUGAACUCUGAUAGACUUACCCUGGAAAGGCAAAAACUGACGGUGUGCCCAGUUAUUGAUGGGGAAGAUCAUCUUCGUCUUUUGAAUUUCCAACAUAACUUUAUAACUCGGAUCCAAAAUAUUUCUAAUCUUCACCACCUUGUUUUCUUAGAUUUAUAUGAUAAUCAGAUCGAGGAAAUAAGUGGGGUUUCAACUUUGAGAUCCCUGAGAGUCCUUUUGUUGGGAAAGAACAGAAUAAAGAAGAUCUCAAAUCUGGAGAACCUAAAAAACCUUGAUGUUUUAGAUCUCCAUGGAAAUCAGAUUACUAAAAUAGAGAACAUCGGUCAUUUGAGUGAGCUGAGGGUGUUAAACCUUGCCAGAAACCUACUGACCAUUGUAGAAAAUUUGAAUGGACUGGAUUCCCUCACAGAGCUCAACCUUCGUCAUAAUCAAGUCUCUGCUAUAAAAGAUGUGGAUACUUUGCCCUGUCUCCAGCGUCUCUUCCUCAGCUUCAACAAUAUAUCUAGUUUUGAGGAUAUUCUGUGCCUUGCUGAUUCCUCAUCUUUGUCAGAUAUCACCCUUGAUGGCAAUCCAAUAGCUCAGGAGACAUGGUACAAACACACUGUUCUCCAUCAUAUGAUGCAGCUCCGACAGCUAGAUAUGAAGAGAAUCACAGAAGAAGAAAGACGUAUGGCCUCUGUUGCAGCAAGGAAAGAGGAAGAAAGGAAGCGUGAAAGCCAUAGACAGACCUUGCUUAAGGAAAAGAAGCGGUUAACGAUUUGUAACAUUGCUCGUCAGUGGGAGAUCCAGCAGAACAGAACAGCCCUUGAGGCUUCUUUAAACCAGGAUAAGGACAGUGAGCCCUGUCAGAUCAAUGGCAGUGCUGCAUAUGUAUUUCCUGAGGAAAGCAGGUCUCUUGAUGCAAUUCUGAGCAGUGCAGUACAAGGCUUGUCUGUUCUAGAGUCUCAUUUAGUGGAAGUGGAAGGGGACACUCUUGGCUUGUAUGGUGCAGGAGCACUGGAGUGCCUGGAUCGGAACUGGAGUGUUCAAACAGCUGGAAUUAUUGUCACAGUCUCCUUUAUGUUCAUAGAAUUUGAUGAAAUUGUUCAAGUGUUGGCAAAACUGAAGAUGAAAUUCCCUAAUUGUGUGCACCUGAAGUUCAAGGAGACAAACCUGGUGGCGCUGCAGCAGUUCCACGCCCUGGCCGAGCUGCAUCGCAUGGAGCAGCUGACGGUCGAUCCUCAGGGAAACCCGGUUGUGAACUUCACCUUGUGGAGAUACUACGUCCUGUUCAGGCUGAACCAUUUCAAUCUGCAGAAGAUAAAUGGAGUGAAGGUCACUGAAGAUGAUGUUGUAAAGGCAGAAAGGCUCUUUGGCAUCCUGGCAUAUGUAGCAUCUUCUGAGCUGCCACAUUAUCGUGUACUUUCAUUAUUUGGAGAAUCCAGGAGGAAGCAAUUCCAUUAUCUGCUAGAGGGAAAGGGCAAGAAAUCUGGGGUUGGGAGUGAGGAAAGUAGUGAUAACAGAAGAAAUGGGGGGGAAAGCACAACUCGAGCAACAUUGAAUUACAUGACAAAGGACUUCCAUAUGGAAAAGCUUGAGGAAAUCAAGGAAAGGAAAACAUUUUGCCGGACAUACGUGGAGAACUUGGUGAAAGAGGCAGCUGACAUCAACCUGAAGAACGAGUCGCUGCAGAAGCUCUGGCCUCAGAUGUUCAUCGAGCUCGUCAGGGAUGCAGUGAUAGAAAUCCGCAAUAAAAAUUCCUACAUGAAGCUCUGCUUGCAGAGGAUCACUGAGCAAAAACAGUAGAGCCAAGGAGUGUUGCCUUGCAAGCUUUUGGGAUCAGUAUUCCAUCUUGUUUUACAAACUUCAUCCGGUAGAAUAUAGAAUUACCAUCACUAUGGCACACUUCACCUCCCCACCCAGAGGGAUGCCUUUAAAUCUUAAUCAACUGUCAAUAAUUUUGAAAUACAAGUUUACUUUCAUACUGCUUCAACAAUGCUUCCUUGGCCAACUAAAGCAGUGAGAGCAUUGAUACUGUAAAGAAGUACUGUGUGCAAAGAAAAGACUUAAUGCUGCAUGAAGAGAUGAGACACAACUUGCCCCUAAAAUCAACUGUGAAUGGGUAGAAAAAAAACCACAUUCCAUAGUACAGUAACUUCCACUGUAAACACCUUGCCAGCUUCUGUCCAGAAAUUCAACUUAAGAACUGGUAGCAGGUCCAGCUGAUUCCCAUGGCUGGCAUUCAUGCCCAGGUAGAAAGUUGUGCCAUUUAAACUUAAUUUUUUAGUUCCAUUGUAUUUUAACUAAAAGAAUCCAGAAUCUUAGUGCAUUGUUUUACUUUGUUCAAAUUGUUCUUAUUUUACUUAAGCUCAUUUAUAAAAAACAAACCAAAGAAAACUUCCUGCAAGGGUUUCUAUGGCUCAGAACUGAAUUUAUUUUUAAACUUUAUCUGGAAAAGACUCUCUGGCAAAGCAGAGAUGCAGAUACAGUUUAGUAGGUUUUUAUACCUUGAAAAUCAUGGAAUCAUAGGAAGGUUUGGGUUGUUCUUGAACACUUCCCGGGAUGGGGCAGCCACAGCUUUCCUGGACAACCUGUGCCAGGGCGUCACCACCCUCACAGGGAAGAAUUUCUUCCUUAUAUCUAAUUAAAUCUGCCCUAUUUCAAUUUAAAGCUAUUCCUUCUUGUCCUAUCACCACAUACCCUUGUCCAAAGUCCCUCUCCAGCUCUCUUGGAGCCCCUUUAGUUACUGGAAGGAGUUUGAGGUCUCCCUGGACCCUUCUCCAGGCUAAUCAGACCAAACUCUCUCAACUUUGAAUGAGUAGCAGGAAUCAGGUGUUUUGGGAUCUGCUUGCAUUCUGGUCCAGGUGGUGUAUCUAAUUUGUCAGAGAGAAUGCAUUUUCAGAGCAUGUCCCGGGUUAACAGUGACAUCCAUCAUGUUAAUGCAGUUUUCCACUUGGUUUAUGUUAUAUGUGAUGUUCUAGACCAUACUUGCAGGUGGUUGGUUUUCAGCCUUCAUAGAAUGUAGUGGAGGUUAAGUCACUUAAAUUCUAAGGAAAUGUUAGAAUUCCUGAAGAAGCUGCUCCAGCACUUGAGAGAAUUUAAUAGAAACAGUCGCCCAUCUGGGCUUUUUGAACUGCUUCAUGGAAUUUAUAGGAAGAUUAGUGUAUUUGAUAGGAUUUUUUCCCUUUGCACUGGAAAAUUGCACUCUCGUUUUAUGGUGCAUUUUAUUAAGGGAACAAAUGAAGACCCUGCAAAAUGUGAGCAAAGGAGAGUUUACAUUUAAGAAAUAACCAGUGUAGAAAUGCUCAUGGAAAAGUGUUUUGGAUCCAUCAGUUACUUCACAUCAUUUCUGUGAAGGGGGUGGGUGGAGCAGUUCCAGCUUCUGCAGGGGGACAGGAACCUUGGCAGCUGUGGAAGUGCAGAACUCUCCUGAUGAUGUAGCUGGAGCAGAUGGGCCCCUUUUGAAUCAGAUUCAGCAGCAAUGAAAGACUGGGGGGGGAAAAAGUGUUUUAAGAAGGGUGUAUUGGUUUAGAGGAACAGGAAGUUCUCCUUGGGAAAAUCCAGAGAAAAGCCAGACUUUCUGAUAUUGAGGCUUUAGAAGCAUAAUCCUGAUUGGGGGCUUUAAGGUAGGGCCUAGAAAAACCUAAGAUAAGUAAAUCAGAGGAUAUUGAGGGUGAGUUGUAGAACCAUCUCCUUAAAAUGCUCUGUAUUCCCAGUGGUCUGUGAAAGCUGCCAGUUUGGACUUUUUUCACUAAUAGCAGCUGUUUCAUAACAGGAUUGCUAAAUGGCUGAAGUAAGGGGUAGCUGGGCAGCUAUAAUAAAUAAAAGAUUAAUGUUGGGCUGCUUAUGUUCUUUUCACAUAAAAUCAGUAGGAAAAUUGUUACUAAUUCUUUUUAGGAAACAAGUGAAUGAUGGAUUAAAGAGAUGUUAGACCUAAGAGUACAUAGAAGUUUCAGUAGCCAGGGGAUCUUAAAAUUGUUUGCCUGCUAUAUGUCAUUACUGUGUUUACCCAAAUAAUUUGUAACCUAAUUUGUAAUUUCAUGUAGACUCACAAGAUAUAUUCCUGUAGUUCAUUACUGAAGAGUUUUCAAGUACCUAAAAAUUUGAAGGUCAUAUAAGAAGUAAAUUCUUAGAUUUUCUGAAUUUUUUAUGGUUACAGGUAUAAUUUGAGGAGUUAAAGUAACCUUUAAAUGCUGCAUAAAACCAAAUUUUGAUAUUGUUAUUAUUUCAUUGAUAUCCCAUCCAGAAUGGACUGUUGUGAUCCCCUAAUGUAGCCUGACUUUGUGCACAAGACAGGAGCUAUUACUAUAAAAUAUCUGUAUUUACUCUGACUAGAAGUCAUCCUAAGGGUUAAAAAAAUACUGUGUUGACUUUUAAGUCUUAUGAAAACUUUUUUCGCCGUUGAUUUUUGGAUUAUUUGUACAGUUUCAUUAUUUUCUGAGAGGAAUUUCUGCUGUAUCCAGACAAGGGAAGAUAAUGAUGUUAUUUUUUUUUCAGUUUCAGUUUAGCUGUAUCACACGUGAAGGCCUCAUUAUGUGAUGCAGAGUCACUGUUAUGCAAGUGAAAUUUGAUCUUCGGUAAGGAGGCUGAUGAAGGGCCGAAUUUCCUUUUGAUCUGAAAAAGUCCUAGAGCUGCAAAUGUGCUGCCACAGUGGAGCAAAGGGAGAACAGAUUCCCCUGAUGCAAACCAAAAGCUGAUGCAGUCAGUUACGAGGGAAAAAAGGUACUGGGAAGAGGUUUAAACUGAGCACAGAACUAACUAAAAGUGCCUCACUGCCUGGGACCAAGUGAUAGAUCUGAAUCUGGAAAUAGCUGAAAGUUGUUUACAAGUGAAUUAUUCAUACUUUAAUCAAGUAAACUACUUAAAAUAACGACAAUAAUAAAAAGGUUAACUUAUUAAAACACUGGCCAUCUACAGAUUAAGCUAGGCUAUUGUAGAACCAGUACUAAGUCCACAAUCUAUGUAUACAUUCUGUAAAUUCAGGACAAGCAGUUGAUUUUUUUUUUUAAAGGAGCUAUAGGGCUGCAAAAGUAACAAACAAUGAUACUUUCAGUUGCUACUUUUAAUCAUAGUGACACAUCAGCAUGAACUGCUUUUUGCUAACUAGUUUAUUUAAAGAAGUUAAGCCAAAUACUUGCUAUUUCAUAUUAUUAAGCAAUAUCCAUAAAGAUGUGAUUUAGAUUGGGAGGUCUGUGUGCAUAUUCAGAAUCACAAUAGCAGCUAUUUGCUUUGAUUGGGAAAACAGACUUCUUGGAUGUGUUUCUGUUUCCACAUCAUCCAAACUCUGCUACAUCUUGAAACCCAGUUUCAGUGAAAUUAUUUUUCUUUUUAAGUUGGAAGCAUCAUAUUUUUGGUGCAUUUUAAGACUUGGUGUUUUGUUGCACAUGUGUAGAACAAGGACAGGAAAGAGGAGACUAUCUGAGUUUGUUCUGUUGUCUGAUAAGGUGGCUUUUGCUCGAAAGUGAAUAUAAACUGUUUGGGGUUUUUUUCAUAUGAAAAAGUAGACAGUGUAGGCUACACAGACAUUAGACAAUCUUAGAAAAAGCUGAUAGGUAUCUGCUUACACACAUCACCUCAGAGCUGGAUUUUCUUGAGCAUAAGCUCAAAGAAAUUGAAUCUAUGGGACUGUUUAUACAACCCAAGCAUUAAUUUUGUUGGCUAGAUUUGCUAGGCUUCUGCUCUCAGAGGAAGAAGGAAAAACUCAUCUGGAGGAACUCCUGUCUCUGCUGUGGUGAAAACAGCAUUUCUUUACAAGCUGUGUACUGGGCCUUACAUGCCAUGCUUGUGUACAGAUGGAGUGCACAGAUGCUUCUGCUUCUUGUAUCAAAUGUCAGGAAAUCCUGGUGAAGGAUCAAGAAGUCUUAAUGGGGGAAAAGGUGACUCUUCUUGAAUUCUACAUUGUAUGGUUUUGGUGUUUGGGGUUUUUUUUUUCAGUUAUAGAUAGAUAUAUUUCAAGCAGAAACAUACUUGACUGAUGAAAGCACACUGAGUGUAUAAAAAAGCAGAAAACUGUAGGUUAGAAUAUUUGUAUCAAAUCCAGCAUUAGAAGUGUCCAGCAUCCCCAAGGAAAAUGGUUGGUACAAGGCAACCCUAUAUUCCUUACUACUGAUACAUUGACUUGAGGAUGCCCUUAUGGGUACCUGUUUUAUCCAGCUAUCUGGAAAACCCUGAAGGCUUCCUGAUUGCUGUGGACUUGGAUUGAUUGGUACAGUGCAAAAUAAUGUAUCAAGACAGCAGGAUCGGAUUUCUCAGUCAUGGGUUCCAUUGGUUCAUGCUUAUCCCCACCUUUUGCUGCAAUCUUCCCAGUUAGGUAGGUACUUGCAUAUUCAGGAAAAUCUUGUGUGCAGCCUUCAUUCUUAUAUAGUGCAUGGCAUCUGGAGUAUUGCUACAUCCAUAACUGGGACUUUCCAGUUCCAGACCAACUGUUCCUUUCACUUCUGUUUGACUAACGUGUGUAUCCCAGGGGUUAAAUGCUGCAAUUAUCCAUUUUACACCUAACAAAACUGGAACUUAUAAGGAAUACUGAGCAGGUCAUAAACAAGUUCAUUAUUUCUGGAAUACUAGACAUAGAUAACAUCAACAGCACUAACCUUUUAAAACAGUGAGAAUGAUACCUGUCUAGAGUAAAGGUAAGGAAAAACCUUUCUGUGUGUAGUGUGGAGCACUUACCACUUUAGCACAGGAGAAGAUAGUCUGGAAUGAUAAUGGUUUCCAUCUAUUUAUAAUGUAUCAUUAGACAAGAGGUUGAAAAGUUAAUUCAGAUUACAGUGGUGAAGAAAUUGUGCCUGUGAAUGUGAUGUUUGUCCUACAUGCCAGUGUAGUCUAGACUUCUUACUUAGUCAUGCAAGUAACAGUGAUAUUAAUGUAAUUUACAUUCAAAUGAAAGAAAUCAUAGUGAUAUGUAGAGAAACUGUGACUUUACAGAGAUAAAAAUUGAGUUCAUUGAUUAGCUAUUAUGUGACACUUAGAAAUUAUAUAGUGACACAAUAUGUGCUAUAGUUUGUGUUCUAUAUGGGUGUGUAGCACAUUUGCUGCCUGUGUGCAUUAGGCUGCAAUGAUCCAUGCUUUCUAAUAAAGUAAGGAAAUACUUCUGAGGGAUGAUGAAAGAAGCACAGAGUGCAGAUUUUUCAGUUUCUAACUCAGCACUGACAAUAGAGUAUAUUGAGCUUCAUACAACUGCUGUAUCCUGGGUAAAGUGCACAUGUUGGAGCUUCCAGAGUCAUUUGACUAUGAAGCUGUUGUGAAAGUCUUCUCUGCAGAUGUACUAAUGCAAGAUUUAAAUGCAAAUCAACAUCCUGCUGAAGAUUCUAAAAGGUAUUUGCAUUGAUUUAUGCUCUUUAUUAGGAUGCAUAAUCAAAACAGGAAGAUCUAAACCAGGUAACCUAUGUGAGCUAAAACCUUGAUGCUGUUGAAGUUGUUGCAAGUGACAAUUUAUAUUUAUGGUGAUGACAUCUAUGUCUCAAUCAUCUGUGCUGACUAGAGGAAAAUAGACACUUCUACAGUGUGAAAAAUCUGAUUUGUUUUAGAUGUCCAUCUUUUCAAUGAAGUAGAGUUGCCUAUUCUUUUUUUUCUUCCCCUGUUAAGGUAGUCCAGGCAGUCAUCCAGAUGUUGAUGUCUGCAAAAGUUUGGAUUUGUACAGACAAGUUCCAUCCUUCCCACCUGUUGCCUGCUUCCCUCUCAUGUGAUUAAAUCCAGUGUUUUCUGCCACGCCAGUCAGAGCCCACAGAAGUAGCCCUUUGUAUGAUGAACAGGCAUGUGCUCUGCUUGGCUUUGGGGUAAAAUCUGAGUAUCCUAGAUUUCCAAAAGGAGACAUGCUAGUCUUCAGUGAAGCCUUGUCACACUUGAAAAGGCUUUGAGGUCUGGCACACAGACUCAGGGUCCUCAGAACACAGGUUCUCUCCUCUGCUCUUUUGAAUGCAUAUAUUGCUGAAGGGGGGAGAGAGACUGGAUUGGAGUAGACAUUGUUAGACAGCAGAUAACUGCUUUUUCACUCAGGUCGUUGCAAAAGCAUAUGCCUGUGAGUAGUAAAGAGUGUUGCAAAAUAUGUUAAAUGUGUUUGGUGACAAGCCAGAAAUACAUGUGUUAAACAUGUCAAACUAAGCAGCACAUCUCCAUUGUCAGGCACAGCCCUUUCUGUGGUGGGGAGCUGACUGGUUGCAAGGCAGCUGCUGUCUCUUGUAAGGGAUUAUUGUGCUGGGCAACUGCAAAGAAAGUAGGUCAUUUGCAGAUAGUAUGGGUGUUCAAGUUGUUGAACAGAUUCUUCAUAUAUUCUGCAGGGUAUCAUUCUCAGAAUUUUCAGAUUUAUUUAAAGGAAAAAUUGCUUCAGAGAUGUGAGGGACCCUUUAGCUUGGCUGUUAAGAAUUUUUUUUUAAAAGUGCACAAAUCUGUGUCUCAUUGCUGCUUGUAGAAGAAACCAAAAAGGAACCACAGGUGGUCUGAGAAAGUUGUAUUAUUUGUUCUUCCUUCUUUGUUGGUACUGAACUUUUGCCCUUGCUUGAUGAUGCUGUAGCUCACUCACCCUCAGGGAUUAACUAGAGGCUGUGUCAGGAAACUAUUUUAAUAGAACUAGGUGUGCUCAGGGCAGUCUCCAAAUUCCAUCAGCAUAUGGUGCCAUCUAAGAUUAGUCAUUUAUUUUCACACCUUCCAUCAACACCUCACUUUAAUAACCUUUGUCACGUCGCAGGGACAAACUACCAUUUUGAUAAUGUGCUCCUCAACAUGUGACCUGUGAAUGUGUUUGAGGUCUUUCAGUGGAACAGAUGAGUGUCAAUUGUAAAAAUUCUCCUAUUAGAAUAUUUAGUGUAAGGUGUCUGUGCAGCCUUACUGCUGACUGGCUCUCAGUUUUUAUUCUGUUACUGUUAUAAAAUACACUUGUCAAACACCUCCAAAAUGGUAUUUAGAGGAGACUAUAGGAUAAAAAGCUGUGCCUUGGUGAGGGUCAUCCCCUCAUGGCCUACAUUUUAACAGCAGCAAGAGUGAAAGAAAAACACUUAUUUGCAUUACUUAUCUGGCAAUGGGCUGACAAAGGUGUUAAGGUAGCCAGGUGCUGUUUAUCUCAUCUGUGCUGUAUAUUAAGUGUGGGGCAGCUACAGAGAAUGAGGCAGUCUUGUGUAUUUUUAGAGGUGUGAGAACUGUUGUGGGGAGCCAAAUCUUUCCAAAUUUCCCCUCCCCUACUCUGCUGAGGAGGCUCUGACUUUCCCCACCCUUUGUUUCCAAGCUGCAGUGUAUUCUGUUGUUAUUUAAGGAAAAUACUGUCAGCACUGCUUGUGUGUUUGUUUGUUUUGCCCGUUCCACCCAUAGCAUGUGUGGAAUCUGUGAUAAAUAAAACGCACUGAAAGCAGGUA